rnacentral:rRNA from 1 species
UACGUAGGGUGCAAGCGUUAAUCGGAAUUACUGGGCGUAAAGCGUGCGUAGGCGGUUUGUUAAGUCUGUUGUGAAAUCCCCGGGCUCAACCUGGGAAUGGCAAUGGAUACUGGCAGGCUAGAGUGUGUCAGAGGAUGGUGGAAUUCCCGGUGUAGCGGUGAAAUGCGUAGAGAUCGGGAGGAACAUCAGUGGCGAAGGCGGCCAUCUGGGACAACGCUGACGCUGAAGCACGAAAGCGUGGGGAGCAAACAGG